rnacentral:rRNA from 1 species
GACGAACGCUGGCGGCGUGCUUAACACAUGCAAGUCGAACGGAAAGGCCCUGCUUUUGUGGGGUGCUCGAGUGGCGAACGGGUGAGUAACACGUGAGUAACCUGCCCUUGACUUUGGGAUAACUUCAGGAAACUGGGGCUAAUACCGGAUAGGAGCUCAUGCUGCAUGGUGGGGUUUGGAAAGUUUCGGCGGUUGGGGAUGGACUCGCGGCUUAUCAGCUUGUUGGUGGGGUAGUGGCUUACCAAGGCUUUGACGGGUAGCCGGCCUGAGAGGGUGACCGGCCACAUUGGGACUGAGAUACGGCCCAGACUCCUACGGGAGGCAGCAGUGGGGAAUAUUGCACAAUGGGCGGAAGCCUGAUGCAGCAACGCCGCGUGCGGGAUGACGGCCUUCGGGUUGUAAACCGCUUUCGCCUGUGACGAAGCGUGAGUGACGGUAAUGGGUAAAGAAGCACCGGCUAACUACGUG